UCACGAAGGUUAUACUGUCUCCUUUUUCUAAUCAGUGAAACUAAUCUCCCCGUGAAGAAGCGGGGAUAAAGCUAUAAGACGAGAAGACCCUAUGGAGCUUAAAACUACACAGCACUUACCAAANAAUUUUUAAUGUUUCUGUANACACUNAAUUCUUUAAAGUAAAAUGACUGCAAGUUUUCGGUUGGGGUGACCACGGAGUAUAUCAUAACCUCCAUGUUGAAAGAAUUUCUCUCUAAGCCAAGAAUAACCAAUCUAAGCAUUAACNANUUAACAUCUAUUGACCCAAUAAAUUUGAUCAACGAACCAAGUUACCCUAGGGAUAACAGCGCAAUCCACUUCAAGAGCUCCUAUCGACAAGUGGGUUUACGACCUCGAUGUUGGAUCAG
rnacentral:rRNA from 1 species